rnacentral:rRNA from 1 species
ACGGAAGGCAGCAGUGGGGAAUAUUGCACAAUGGGGGAAACCCUGAUGCAGCGACGCCGCGUGAAGGAAGAAGUAUUUCGGUAUGUAAACUUCUAUCAGCAGGGAAGAUAAUGACGGUACCUGACUAAGAAGCCCCGGCUAACUACGUGCCAGCAGCCGCGGUAAUACGUCGGGGGCAAGCGUUAUCCGGAUUUACUGGGUGUAAAGGGAGCGUAGACGGAUCGGCAAGUCUGAUGUGAAAGGCUGGGGCUCAACCCCGGGACUGCAUUGGAAACUGUCGGUCUUGAGUGCCGGAGGGGUAAGCGGAAUUCCUAGUGUAGCGGUGAAAUGCGUAGAUAUUAGGAGGAACACCAGUGGCGAAGGCGGCUUACUGGACGGUAACUGACGUUGAGGCUCGAAAGCGUGGGGAGCAAACAGGAUUAGAUACCCUGGUA